rnacentral:lncRNA from 1 species
GGUUGAAUUAAAAACUACUUCAAGUAAUAAAUAGAAAAAUGCAAUGCUCGAAGGUACAUGGUUGGAGAUAGUGUAAUACCUCAACGAAAGAAGAGCACAACAAACACAGAAGAGAACACAUAACUUUUGUCCUAAGCAUGUUCUCUCAACAUUACCAAGAAUAUGCUUACAAUAGGGACAGUUAGGCUCUUUAAUUCAGCAUUGUUGUACGUCUUUCAUCACAAAUGAUAGAAAAGUGAACAAUUUGAGUCCAAUUGCCAUCUAAAGCUACCGAUUUUGUAUUAGUGUUACUGUUAGAGCUCAAAACUUGAUACUAAAUGCCGAAGGCAAAAGAUUCAU